rnacentral:lncRNA from 1 species
UGCAGUUAAUAUCACCAAAGAUAUCGAAAGUCACCUUCUCAAUGCAUAACGCCAAGACCAUAUGUACCGUUUGCUAGUAUUUCUCUCUUAAAUAAAGUUUGGAACUUGGAUGUGCAUCUAUGUACUAUCUCGACCUUUUAAUAAACGCAAAUUCCAGCUGUACUGGAGUUGGUGACUAAUGCCGAGAAGACAAACUAGGUUCCCGAUCCUCAGUUAUUUAUGCAAUAAUAUUAAUUAGUGCAUGCGUGUGAUUAGUUGUAUGGUUCUGGGAGUUGCUUUGUGAUUGUUAAUCGGUGUCUUUUGUAGUGGGAUUAUUACAUGCAUGUAAUGUGAAGAACAUAUGAUCCAUGAGGAAAUAAAUUAAAUGAAAAUUACCCAGGCUCCAUCAUGAGGAGCCUUUGAGCAUGCCCACAAGCCUACGUUCCUGCAUUCAAGUCACAUAUGUGAAAAUUCCACUUUGCACAUAAUCUAAAUAAUUUAUCUAAAAAUCUAAGAAGUAAUCUCUCUCUCCAUCUAUGUCUCUCUCUCCCCAUCUAUAUGUACCUCAAAUGAAGAGGUAAGGUAAUGUAAAAUCCCCACCUCAAAUUUAGGGAUAUUUAUAUAAUUUGAAAAUUUUAAAAAGACCUACAUUAAUUUUGUAAAUAUUUAUGUAAUCAACUUUCUCAGAUUAAUUAAAUAAAAAAUUGACCAAGAUGAUUAAAAAUGCAAAUUUGAUGAGGACAUGAAGUAAAAAGUGGUAGGGUUUAAGGACAAUGGCUUCUACUGAAUUUUGGUGAGGUGGUGAUACAAUGAGGAAAAUAGAUUAAUAAAGUUUAUCCAUGGAAAUAGAAAAUAGAAAACAAAAAAUAUAAAAUAAUAAUAAUAUUCAUGUUAAUCAUUUAAUAAAUAUAAUAAAUGCAAUUAUAUAUGCUAAGUGAAAAUAACAAUAUUAUUAUUAUUAUUAUUAAUGCUUAUGAUAGGUGAGAAUUAAGUCUUUUAGAAAUUUGAGUAAUUUUUUCAAGGUAAAGCUUAUAGUUCAUUAAGUCAUUUUAUAAUUCCUUAUAUAUUUUUUUAUUGAUUUUUAAAGUAUCAAAAUGUGUAAAUUCUUUAAAGUGGAUCAAAUAGUUUUUUUUUUUUUUGAAAUAUUUUGUGAUUUGUUUGGUUGUUAUGAAAGUGAAUUUUAUUACUUAAUUUAUUAUAAUGAUUUUAAAACUCUAGUUAUUAGUGGUUUUAGUCAACAAGGAUAAGUUAUUAACCUUCUUUACCUUUGGUCAGUGAAGGGAUGUAGUAUAACACUAGCCAAUAAAUGUGUCAUUGGUCUUGUAUACUAUUGAUUAGAAAUUGUUAUGUCCACCAAUGAGAGUAUUAAAGUGAGGUGAGCCACCUAAUGUAAGUCCCAAUAUUUGGGCACAACGUUAUUAUUAAUUAAUAAACAAAAAUAAAUAGUUUAUUUAUAAAAAUUUUUUUCUAAAUAUAAAUUGAGUAUGCAAAUUGUAUUUUUUAAUUCUAUCUUUAAAUUUAAAGUGUUUAAUCUUUUGAAGAAAGUGAAUUUAAUUUUUUGAAGAAAGUGAAUUUAAUUUUUGAAUUAAAUAAAUUAACCUGAUAAUUGAUUUUUAUAAAAAUUUGAUAUCUCUUAGAAUUUAAUUCUCUACAAUAUAUACCUGAUUUUUUUCAUUGAACUAUUUUUUCUUAUUGAACCAUUGAAGUCACCCUUCUUUAUUAUUCCCCUUUUCAUAUACAAAUGGUAUAAGUGAGAAGGGAUUACGGGAGGAGAAAUGUUUCUAUUAUAAACAACUUUGGAAUUGAAUUAUGUUGGAUUGUGAAACGUGAAUCGGUUUAAUUUAUUGUAUUUUGCAAGGAAUGCUAGAGGUCGAGUGUCUAAUUGAGCUUGCGGGGAUCAAGAGUCUUGAUCGGUUCGUUGGGACUUGGGAUUGAGUUGUCCAAUCAGCUCAUGGGGUUAAAGGAAUAUCCUUCGAUUUUUUUUAAUACGAUGAAUAACGAGUUUGUCCUAAUUGUAUAUUUAAUCUUAUUAUAAUUUAAAGUUUCUUUUUAGAGAGUGUGUGACUGCAAUCGAAAGGAUAAUGAGUGUUUAGUACUCGUCUUAUUUUUUUCUGAACCAAAUUAAAAAUCUAUUGUUUUUCUUUAUUUUCUAAUCGUGUGUGCAUGAUUUGAUCAACAAAUUAUUUAUAGGAUUGUUUACUUAAAUUUGAUUGUAAUUUAUUUAAGUUUUUAGGAGAAUCAUUAAAUUUAUUAUUACAAUAUUUUAUUAGUUUUGAAUUUGUUAUUUAAAGUGAUUCAUUUACUUGGUUCAAAGGUUUGACAUAUAAAGUCACCGUGGUUCCCUUGGUGUCGCGGGUGAUUUUGUAAGUGCCUUCGGACUACAGAAUAUUAAUUAACCUACCAAUCUUCAAUGUAAUCUAAGAUGCAGAAAGAUCUUGUGGGUUAAGGUCAAGUGGGCGCUUCAAUAUUUAUCAUGUCUUCAAAAAAAACUUCAGGGCCCCAGUCCAGAUUCUCAGAUAUGGAUUCUAACAGUUGCUACCAAUCACGGGGGUGAAAACAAAUCAGUGUCGCAGAAAUCGCUAUCAAUGUGGUACUGGAAAAAAAAGAAGAGAUUCCUCCACUUGUUCUUGAAAUUUAUCUGAACGCAUGCAAUAAAUCAAUGCUCCAUAAUCUCCUGCACAUGCAAAUUAAAAUCAAAAUCAGGCCAUUGGCCUCUCACAUUACCAUUCUUGGCCGUUUUCUGGUGUGCAUAUAAAGAGUAAUAACCACACCAUCCAUCUUUUACUCUGGUUGUCACACUCCCACCACUCUCCCACCACUUCUUCCCUAAUCUCCUAACAUCAAAUACAAAAAUGCCACAUCCUUAUUAUUGAAAAUUAAAUUCCCAUACAUAUAAAUCUUAUGCCAGAUUUUUUGUUGAUUGGAUGAUAUUCGGCCAUAUAAAAUUCAGUAUCAAUCACAAACAUUCGUUAUCCAAUCUUGAUACCGAAGAGGAUAGAGUAUCAAUCCAUCUAUGGGCCCGGUGCACCAGGCCUUCCGCCUAUAAAAGUUUUCUAGGGUGGUGAACUAUAUUCUUCAAACACAGCCUUGGCUAGUUACUAUCUGGUUUCCAAAGAAAGAAGAAAUGGCUCAGAUAGAUAAGAUGGAAACCCAUGUAGAGAAAAAGUCCCCUGCCAAUGAGUUCUACGAGGUCUUCAGCAGCAAAGCUCAUCUCAUUCCCAAGGCCUGCCCUGACAAAAUCAAGAGCAUCGAAGUGGUUGAAGGUGAUUGGAAGAGUGUGGGCUCUGUCAAGCUCUGGACUUACUGUAUCGGUAAGGCAACGCUAACCAUUAUUCCCAUGCCACCCUCAAUCAAACAAAAUAAUACACUCAGCACAUGGACCUUCUUGUUUUUAAUUAUUAUUGCUGUGGAAGAUAAUAAUAACAAAACAAAGGGAAUGACCCCUUCUGAUACGGGUGCCUCCUCAUAUUAGUUUUUUGAAGUUCUCCAUGCAAACUAAAGUAGAAAUCAAUCUUUAGGCACAUCCCUUAUCUGAGCUUCACAUGACCUUAGUUUCAUUUUAAAUUAACCUGCAGGAGGAAAUACUUCGUCUAGCAAGGAGAGGGUGGAAAAGAAAGACGAUAAGAACAAGUCCAUCACUUUCAAGGCUCUGGAUGGAGAGGUCAUGAAGGAUUUCAAGAGCGUCAUCUCCAUCCUUGAAGUGAGUGCAAAGGAUGACGGCAGCCUGGUGAAAUGGACUUUGGAAUAUGAGAAGUCAAAUGAGAAACUCCUACCUCCAGAUGCUUACCUCAGCCUUGUAAUUAGUAUGAGUAAAGAAAUCGACGCUUACCUUCUCAAGGCAUAAGCCGCAUAACAAGCCCUAUAUCCUUGACUUGAUAUGAAAGCAUCCUAGCCUGGGUCCUCCUGGGAAUAACGGAGUUGCUAUGCGUACCUCCAUAUUAUAUUAUCGACACCUACUGGCUACUGCUGUACUCCAUGUAACUUCUUGCUGUACUUAAUUAUAUGAGCUUCCUGAAUUAAUGUUGGAAUGAUAAAUCAAGCUUUAUGGUAGAAUCAAAUGAUUGCUCUAUCAUGGAAUAAAUUUCGCAAUAAAAAUAAAUAUUAGAGGAGAGUUAUGAAACGAAGCUUUUUUUUCUGCAUCAAAUUAACUUUUCAUACACUGUUUUUAAAACAAAUCAACAUACAAUGAUCUUAUGUUGUACCUUUUCCGUUGCAGAUUGCUUUUAAAAAUGUUCUCCCCACAGGCACUUCUAUGGUAUCUUUUCAAAAUUGCUAUUAUAUAUGUUUAAUUAACCAUUCAUUUUGGUCUAAAGCUAGGACGAACUUCUAAGACUGCCACGGAGACUCUGGAAAUCAACAGAUGAAGAAAAAAAUAAAAUAUAUCCAUGACUUCCAAGGUUUUGGAAGCAGAGGUCAUGAAUCAUUUCAAGAAGAUUCAAGUCAUCCAUGCAAGUAACAGCAAAGGAUAAGCGCAGCUAGGUGAAAUGGAGACUGGAUAUUGAGGGUCACUAUCUCAGAUUCUCAAGGCAUAGCAUUAAAAACAUAUCCUUUAAUUGGUAGUAUAAUCUCAAACUUGUAUGUAAAGACCAGACCGUGGAAGUGCAUAUAUGCAUUUUAUUCUUCAAUAAGCGCAGGCUUAGGGGGUAGUUCAAUAACCUCUGGGCUUAGUCAAUCCCGAGAAGAUAUUAAUAAAUUUCCCUGGAUUAUUCCUCUCAUGAAUAUCAGUGCCUGUAAUUUGGUUGUGUGCUAACGGGAGUUGCCUCUUGCGAUCGGUUGGGUUCUUUAAUAAACGCAUUAUUAGGUAUGAAUGAUCAGGAAAUUGAUAAGUAAAAAACAAUUUAAUUAUUUCACUUAAGUCAUAAACCAUUAUGAGGAGCCUUGGAAUAUAUGCAUGAGUCUAGAUUCUCGCAGCCACUAAUCACGUAGUCAAAAUUGGCCAGUCGCAAACAUUCCAAUCAUUCUUUAUGAUAAGAAAGAAGAGUUCACUCUUCUUUUUCUCGAGUUUUUUAUUUGGAGAGAGCAAUUUAUCAGCCUCACAUUUUGAGACCUUUCUUGGCACAUCACUUUCAGAAUCUGAUUUCCUAGCUCCACUAUAGAAGUAAAGCCAGUUGGGUAUCACAUUCUUGUUUUAUGUCUCCUUGAGUGGGUCGGGUGUAUAUAAAAAUUUGCCAGUUGAAGAUUUUCUUUGUUAUGCUAGUCUUUCUUUUUCUAACCUCCUGAUAUCAAAUGGGAAAAUGCCAUAUCGUUACUGGACAAUUGACCCAUAAUGGAGAGACUUUUGUUGGUUGGACUUGGGCUUUUAUAUAACUCAGCAACUAUCAUAAUUAUAGGAGAAAUUUGAAGUAACCAUAUUGAUUUGGGUCUACCAAGAAGCAAGGUGAAUCGUAACAUAUCAUGCAUAUAACUUGAUUCAAUUAUUUUAUAUUCUACUUGUUUCUUAUGUAUUUUUACUUUUAUCAAAUAGUUUAGAUAUCAUUACCAAAUAUUCUCCUGACAUUUUCCUAUUAUUUCUGUAAGAUGCUAUAAUCUACACCCAAAGUAGUGGACCACUUACACUUUAUUAUGUACUAACCACGAUCAUAACUUACAUUCUCCACCUUGGCCUCUCUCUUAUCCCAAAAAGUAAAGACUCAGGGUUCGUAUCCCUUCCCUUCUGUCUAUAUAGGUCUAAGAGUAGUCAAGUGUUUCCUUCAAUAGCCUUCAUAUUCUUGGCAGUAACUAGGUACUUGGUUUUCAAACACAACAAAAAUAAUGGCUCAAAUUGCCAAGAUGGAGGUCCAAGCAGAGAUCAAGUCCCCUGCCAGUAAGUUCCACGAGGUCUGUAGCCGUAAAGUUUAUCUCGUACCCAAGGCUUGCCCUGAAAAAAUUAAGAGCAUUGAAGUAGUUGAAGGUGACUGGAAGACUGUGGGCUCUGUCCAGCUUUGGACUUAUUUCAUCGGUAAGGCAAAAUCCAUCAUUCCACGCCUCCCCCAACAAACACAAGGACACAGAGCUCAAUUGUACUUCUAUUAUUAUUACUAUUAUUAGGAAAUAAUGAUAAUCUAAUGGUAAUGUGACUCUACUCAUGCCGAUAUAAACCCCGUAAUCUUGAUCUCAAAUUGCUAUCAAACAAAAGAAUAUCAAAUAAAGGUAAAGUGUGUCCCCUAUAUUUAUACGUAGAUAGAUGAGUUCUAAGCUUAGCACCAUGUUUUCCAUUUGAAAAACAGGAGGAAAUACCGAAGAGGCUAAGUUGGUGGUUGAAAGGGUAGACGAGGAAAACAAAACGGUCACUAUGAACGUUGUGGAAGGAGAUAUCGUGAAGUAUUUCAAGAUCUUCAAGUGCACUAUUCAAGUAACCGUAAAGGAUAAGGGCAGCUUGGUGACAUGGAGUGUGGAAUAUGAGAAGCUAAAUGAGAGUGGCCCCGCUCCAGAUGCUUACCUCAACUUUGCAAUGGGUAUCGUUGAGAACGUGGAUGCUUACCUUCUCAAGGCAUGACAACAAAGGCGUAUUCAUGAGUCAUGACAUGGUAUGAAGCACUGGUACAACAAAAACUUGGGAAUAAUGUACCACACGCCAUGUCCUCAACUUCUACUGGUCAUCGCUAUAAUAUUAAAAGUAACUUCUUAUUCUACUUAUAUACCUUCCAAGUACUUUGUGUCUUGAAUGUUAUUAUCUAAAAAUAAAAAUAGAAAAUCUCGAAGAAGAGCAUUGUCCUUCGACACUUUUCUUUCUUUCUUUCUUUCUUCACUGCUGAGAAUCUCAACGUACGACUACCAUUUGCAUUAUGGACCCAUGACUGCCAUCCUUUGACCACAUUUGUUGCCCUCCCACCAAACUCCUACGCGUCAAAAUUUCUAUUGUUGCUUGAACAAUAUUUUCAUUUGAAAAACAAGGAAACGAUUUAAAAAUUCUUAUCUCAUGUCUAGUUACCCCGGUCGACCAUAUAAAGUACCACUUGAUCACUCUAGUCUCCUUUGCUAGCCCAUGGGCAAUGCAAUACCCAGCAGGUCCCAGUAACCAACUCUAUGUUCCUCCGAAAAUGAAACAAAUCAGGUCGUUUCAGGGAUGCAUUUGAUCUCACCCUUUUGUUUUGUGUCCGUUAUUUUUUAUUUUAAUAUCACAUGUUUAUAUUUUAAUCUCAUUCUUUACACCUGGAUUUGCUGAUAAAGGCAACUUUCUUUUUGAGCUUUGAUCGAGAUUUUUAUGAAAUUCCUGUGAUAUUACCGUCCUGCUCCUGCUUAAGAAUGUAACUUUGAUUUUGCUUUUAGUGAAGUCUUUAGGUGUUGUUUAUUCCCCAAAAUCUUUUGAUGUUUCUGAAAUUGCUUCAGUGGACUUUGAGAGGUUGCAGGUACCUCUUUUCUCCUGAAAUAGAAUUUGUUUCAGUGGAGCAAGACAACAGGAUGAGCAAAAAAUAGAACCAAUUUUAUUGAUAUAUAUCAGGUUUUUGAGACGUUGAAGAACAUUUCUAACAACUUUUUUUGAUGGGUGACCAAGCCUAUUAUGCCACAAUGCAUAUACAGAACAAGAAGAAAAAGAAGCAGGUGUUGGAACUACAGAAGAAUUGUAUACUAAGGGUUGUGUUGACAUACUGACAUAUGACUUAUGAGGAGUUGAGGGAGAGAAGCUGCCACUGAUUAUUAAUGAGAUCAAUUUGAGACUGAUAAAAAACAUAAAGACCAUCUUUAGGCCUACCCCUCCAGUAGCACUGUUUUGAAGUGAAAUUCAAAGAAGACAUUCUUUUGGGCAAAUUUUGACACACUGAGAAGGUUCUAAUUAGCAAUUUCAGGGACAUGAAGUGUUUUAAAGAGUAAUUUCAGCAAACAUAACUUCAACUUUACAUCCACCUGACCUCAUUAUUUCAGUUUGACAAGAGGGCUUAAUUAUAUCAGUAUGACUGCUAAGAAGACUUUGGAAUAUUAUAAAACGAGUCCAUCAAGUUCAAGGUUUGGAAUGGAAAGAUCAUGAGUAAUUUCACUACUUUUAAGCUGAAUAUGAGAAGGUAAAUGAGGAUGUCCCAGACCCAAUGCUUACUAAAUCAUUGAAGGUCACCUUCUUGAGGCAUAAUUCCAAUUCUUUUCAUCGAUGCUUCUUAGAUGUUAUAAAACAAUACUAUGAAAAUGAAAACGUAAUGUAAUUUUGUCAAAGCCUUUUCCUUAUUGAAGACUCUGGACUGAUUGCGUGGGUGCGCAACACCCACCAUAAUUCCCACACCAACGCCCAACUAACCAAAUCACGUAAGGCCUCACAUGGCCUCAUUAUUAUUUCUGUUGAAAGAUAAUACUAUAUUACAUACGAGAUGGCCAUUCUACCAGCCACCUGUAAAGUUGGUGAUAAAUUGAUACUAAAAAUAGAAGGAAAAUUAAGUUGAAAUUAAGGGUGUCUAUUUAAAUUUAAUUAUUCCCUAGAUAUGAUCUUUUGAUAUGAUUUGAACCCGUUAAUCAUUUAUUUUUAUAUAAAGAGACAAAAAUUCAAUUGUAUAAUCCAGGAUGAGUCACUUGGCCGGGUUUUCGACGACAGCUAAAUCAACCUUCAUUUAGUAAUGAUUGCCCAUGAAAUAAAUUAUCAUGUCUCCUCACAAUAUAAUAAACUAAUAAAAAAUAAAAGAAGAUCACAAAGAAAAGCAUCUUAGUGGAAGUUUUUUUUUUUUUUUUUUUCUUUCAUUUGUUGGUGGUGACACUCCGUGAAAUGUGAUCAACUAGCAUUUGAAUUACACAACCUAAUGCAAAUGAUAAAAAGCAUAAAUUACUUUAGAGUGUUUAGAAUUUGGAAGACUCUAGCUAGGAUGAUAUGGCAUGGGUCUGUGGCCGACAACCACCAAACCCAACGCUAAAUAAUUAUUAUUGAACCAUCAUCAUCAGUAUAAGCAACAUCAAACCUCUCCAUGUUAAACUGUACAUUUUAUUUCAUCCGGAUCUAAUAUCUAAUUAUAAAUGAUUAUGUAUGAGAUUGCAAUCCUUUGCUUAACUCUUUGAAAAUCUAAUUAUAAAUAUUUGGAAUAUCGAUUUCAUCUCUACCAUUAAAAGCAUAUGAAAAAAAUAUCUUGGUCUUUGAAUAAAAGUAAGUAUAAAUAAUUAGACUAGGGUACCAAAUGAUGAAAUCAAAUAUAAAUGAAUUAUAACCAUCAAAUUUCUAUUUUUCAUUAUUAAAUCAUUGGGCGCUCCAAUUUUUACAUGAUGUAUAACUAUUGACGGAAAUGUUAAUUAGGGAUGGCAACGGGGCUGGUUUUUUCGGGUACCCGCCCCCCCCUCCCCCCCCCCCGCCCCUAAUGGGACGGGGUUGAAAUUUAAUAAACGGGUUUUUAACGGGUAUGAGAUUUUUUUUUAAAACCAGGGGCGGGUUCGGGACGGGUUCGGGACGAGUUCGGGUAUUGCCCCAUUCCGCCCCGCCCCGCCCUGUUUACAUAUAAAAUCAAUUUUAAAAUUAAUUUUAUUUUACUAUUUUUAAUAUAUAGAUAAUAAUAAAAAAAUUAAUAAAAUAAGUUAUAAAAAAUAUAAUAAUUUUAUUAUUUAUAAAUAUAUUUAUUUUAAUGUAAUUAAAAAUUUUAAAAGUAAAUUUUUUUUUUUAUAAAAAAAAGGAGGCUAAACGGGGCGGGACGGGGAUGAGAAUUAUUUUUAAUAAACGGGGCGGGGUUGGGAUGGGGGCAACCCGUCCCGAACCCGCCCUGUUGUCAUUCCUAAUGUUAAUAUAAGGAUAUAAUAAUGGGUAAAAUUAGUUGAAAGUGUUUUUUUUAUGACAUAAAAUAAUUUUUCAAAUUUUAAUUUCUAUUUACUUUGUCUUCCCUUGUCAUGUAUCUUUGUAAUUUUCCGAUUUGUUUAUCAAAACAAUAAAUGAUGUCAUGUUAUGAUUUCUCUUUUUGUCUUCCUUUUUAAUUGACGUGUUUAUUGGAAUAAUAUAUUAUGUUAGACAAAAUAACACAUACCUCCACUGCCCAAAUCCCCUCCGUGACAAUGAACCCCAUCUUUAAGCAUUAUUAUAAAAUUAAGCAUAAAGUUAUUACAAGUUUCUUCCAUUUCACAUGCCUUUCCCAUAGAUUGAGUGGUGGAGAUGAUCAUUCUUGAACGAUUUAUAAUUUUAAUGAAUUCUGUCUAUUCUCAUAUCUUUUAAGAGGGAAUUCAAAUCAACUUAUCUUAUUUUCUCAACGCUACUUAACUUCCACGGCUUCAAAUUUACAUGAUCAUAUCAUUAUCAAUAACUUCGGCAUAACUAUUCAAAUUUUAAUAAGAACUUCAAAUCAUUGUUACCUUUAUUGCCUUAAAAAUCUUUUUCUUUGUCAAUGAUCCCUGCACGAUUAUUAAAUAAUAGGAUUGUUAUUGUCAUAUUAACUAAUUUUGAUAAUAUAGUCAUCGUCACGGCUGAGUGCCGUUUUCUUGGGAGAUUUUUCAUAAAUUUAAAUCAAUACCAGUUAUAGGAAAUGCGUCACAAAUUAGGAAGAUAUCGAGCUGGAAGCAGAUGAUAUAUAAUUCAUUAUUUUCUUCCUUAUUGAAGCUUGACAAACCAAUCCAAAUGCAUUAACGUGAGAAGCAAGGUUUUAUGCUCAUUUUCAAUGAACCUUGUCAACAUGCACGUCAAAAACAAUGAUUUAUUAACUACGUACAUGUAGAACUGCAUGGGAAAAAAAAAAUACAAUUAAGGCAUUGGGAUAUGAAUAAAACGCUUAACUUAAAAUUCAAAAUUCUCAAAACUACGUUUUUCACACCAAAAUGUUUCAUCCAGCCAACCUAAGACCGAGUGAAUCCUCCCUCUAAAGCACAUUGCCCAAGACUACAGGCAACGUAGUAAUUACCUAAGCAAAUACGUCAGAAUCAUACCAAUUUUUACCAAAGUGGGUAUCGGGAAGGAGCUUUGCCUAAUUCAUCCUUCUAUAUAUAAGGACAAGGUUAUCUACUUCUUCUCAUCACUGCCUUCUGUUUGAAUAUUUUGUAGUUAGUUUUAUCAAUCCAGCUAGUGUUAUUAUCAGAAAAACAUGGCUCUAACUGGUAAGUUGGAGACUGAAACAGAGAUCAAAGCACCUGCUGAUAAGUUCUUUAAAAUCUUCAGGAGCCAAGCACACCACCUUCCUAAUAUCUGCUCCGAUAAAAUACACAAAAUCGAGGUACAUGAAGGUGACUGGGAGACUCAGGGCUCCGUCAAGCAUUGGAGUUUGACCGUUGGUAAGGCAUCUCAAACUAAGAACCACAAAACACUAGCGUUAUAUUCUGUUAAUUAAAAUAAGUUAUUAUGUUUUUGUUUCAUUUCAUUGUUGUUUUCUUCACCUUUCAAUUAUUCUAUUAGAAUAAAAGCAUGCCUCUUUGUACAAUUUUUUUCUUGCAAAGAAGUGAUCGAGUCUGGGCCGCUAGUGACUAUGAUGGUUCUUAGGAAUGUACAUGACAUCUAAUAAUAGCUUCAACAUAUUCCAAUUAUGUUUAACCUCACAUUUUGGUUUCAACUAGGAGAGAAUUCUGAGAGUAUUAAAGAGACUGUGGAUCAAAUAGAUGAAGAAAACAGGUCCAUCACAUUCAAGGUUUUGGAUGGGGAGGUGCUGAAAGACUACAAGAGCUACAAGUUCACCACACAAGCGAUACCAAAGGGGGAGGGCUGCUUGGUGAUAUGGACCAUCGAAUAUGAGAAGGCAAGUGAGGGUGGCCCAGAUCCCCAUAACUGCCUAGAGUUUUCAGUUAAUAUCACCAAAGAUAUCGAAAGUCACCUUCUCAAUGCGUAACACCAAGGCCAUAUCCACCCUUUGCUAGUAUCUUGCUCGUAAAUAAAGUUUGGAACUUGGAAGUCCAUCUAUCUCUAUCUUUCAAUAAACGCAAAUUCCAGGUGUGGACUUGGUGAUUAGUGCCGAGAAGAUAAACUAGGUUUGCCUUGGUUAUUUGUGCAAUAAUAUUAGUGCAUGAGUGGGAUUGAUUGUAUGCUAUCUUGUCCGGGAGUUGCUUUGUGUCUUUUGUAAUGGGAUUACUACAUGUAAUGUGAAGACUAUAUGAUGCAUGGGGAAAUAAAUUAAGCGAAAACUUCCAUGGGCUCCAUCAUGAGGAGCCUUUGAGUAAGUCCACAAGCCUACAUUCUUGCAUUCUAGUCACAUGUGUCAAAAUAAGUCUCUACAAAUUAAAGUCUUAUUGUCAAAAUCCCACUUUACACAUAAUCUAAAUAAUUUAGCUAAAAUCUAAUAAGUAUGUCUCUCUUUAUAUGUACUUACCAUCCCAACUUUUAAAUUUAGGGAUAUCUAUGUAAUUUAGAUUUUAAAAAGAAAAUUUUAGGGAUAUUUACAAAGAUAAAUGAAAUAUUUUUGGUUCCGAUAACCAUUAUUUUUAUCUCAUUUUGGUUUCUUUGCGUUAUAAAAAAAAUGGUUUGUAGAGAUAAACUAGAGAAAAAAAAAAAUUAUACAAUGGUUUGUAGAGAAAUUUGAUUCGAAAAGUUAGAAAAGAUGAUUUGUUUUUUGCAUUUGCUUCAUUCUAAAAUUCAAUCACUAUCUUUUAUCUCAUUUUGGUUUCCCCACAUUAUCAAAAAAUGAAGGAUAAAAAUAAACUGGGGAAAAAAUUAUACAAAGGUCUCCGAGAACUUUGAUUUGAAGAGUUAGAAAAGAAGAAUUUUUUUGCAUUUGUUUCAUUUUAAAAUUCAAGGUUUUUGGAUUUCUAUUAUAUAUUAAUUAUGAGGAUAGUAGAAUAAUAAUAAUAAUAAACAAAAACUAGUUAUUAGUGACCUUGAUCAAUAGAGUAUAAGUUGUUGACCUUUAUUAUCUUUGUUAGAAGUAGUUAACGAUGCAAUGUAACCUUAGCCAAUAAAGAUGUUUUGAUAUACAUUGAUUGAAAAAUGUCCUUUUAAAACUAGUUAUUAUUGACCUUGGUCAACACAGAGGAUAAGUUGUUGACCUUUAUUACCCUUGUUAGGAGUAGUGAACGGUGUAGUAUAACCUUAGUCAUUAAGGAUGUUAUUAGCCUUUUGCUAUAUCAUUGAUUGAAAGUUGUCCUAUCCACCAAUAAGGAGAAUGAAGGCUAGCCACCAAGUACUAGUUUUAGUAUUUUGGCACAAUAUUAUUACUAGUGAGUCAAAGUGAAAUAUUUGUUGAUAAAACUUUUUUAAUAUGAAUUGAGUAAGCAAAAUAUAUUAUUUAAUUCUAUCAUUAAAUUGGAAGUGUUUAAAUUUUCAAAAACAAUUAUUUUAAUUAUUGAAUCAAAUGAGCUUACAUGUUAAUAGACUUUUAUAAAGAUGUGGUAUCUUCCGAAAUUUUAUUAUAUAUAAUAAUUGAUCUUCCUUAUACUAACUUUUAUCAUUGAGCCAUCGAGUUCACUUUUCUCUGUUAUUCUCCAUUUCAAUUAUAAAUGAUAUAAAGAGGGAUGAGGUAAGAAAAAUAUUUCUAUUAGAGACAGCUUUGGAAUUGAUUUAUUUUAGGAUUAUUUACUAGACUGAAUUCAUUUAUAAUUUCUAAAUUUCUUUUUGAAGAAUUUGAGAAAAUUAAAUUAAUUAUUGAGAGAUUUUAAUUAGUUUUAAAUUUGUUACUUAAAGUCGUUCACAUGUUGGAUUCUAAUAUUUGAUACGUGAAACUAGCAUGAAGGGCUUGACCUCCGGGUUUGGGGCGUCGCAGCUGACUUUAGAUUACAGAAUUAUUAAUCAACCUACCAAUCUUCAAAGCAAUCUAGGAUGCAAUAUGGUUUUGUGAUUUAAGAUCAAGUGGACGCUUCAUUUAUUAUGUCUUCAAAAAAACAUUUUGGGCCUCAAUUCGAGAUUAUCAGAUAUGGAUUCUAACAGUUGCUUCCAAUCAAAUCAGUGUCACAGAAAUCGCUACCAUUGUGGUACCUGAAAAAAAAAAAAAGAGACUCCUUCCCUUAAUAUUGAAAUUUAUCUGAAGCUAUGCAGUAAAUAAAUGCCCCAUUUUGUGCGUCAUAAUGGGGGAUCACAUUCAGAAUCUUCUGCACAUGCAAAUUAAAAUCAAAAUCAAGCCAUUGGCCUAUCACAUUACCAUUUUUGGCCCUUUUGUUUUGUUGUUUUUUUCUUUUUUUGGCGUGUAUAUAAAAAGCAACCACAUUAUCCAACUUUUAUUGAAAACACCAUAUUAUCAGAUACAAAAACGCCACAUCAUUAUUAUUGAAAAUUAAAUUCCCAUAUAUAGAAAGCCACAUAAAAUUCAGUGCCAAUCACAAACAUUCGUUGAUAUUCACUAGGAUAGAGAUAGAGUGCCCAUAUAUGGACAGUGCACCAUACCCGCCGUGAAGUGAUUGGAAGAGUGUGGACUAUGUCAAGCUCCGGACUUAUUUGUAUAGGUAAGGCAACGCUAACCAUUAUUAUUCCCAUGCCACCCUCAAUCAAGCACAGUCAUACACUCGGCACAUGGCACUUCUUGUUUUUAAUUAUUAUCAUAGUGAACAAUGUUUUCAUAAUCGGAUCGAUCAUCGAACCGAAAAAGUUAUCGAUUUACAGUCCAUUAGUCGAACCGACGGUCGAACCAAUAACAUCAUAAAUAUGUAAUUUAUAUAUUAUUAAAAUUAAAAAUAAUUAUACAAAUUUUAAAAUAUAUAUGAAUAAAUUAAAAAUCAAUAAUAUUAUUUUGUAUCUUUAAUAUUAUCAAAUUAAAUCAUAUUAAUAUUUUAAAUUUUAUUGAAUGAAAUAUAUAUAAUAUUUAAAUAUGAAUAUAUUAAAAAUGAAAAUUUAAUUAAACUAAUUUUAUAAUUUUUAAAAAUAUUAUAUUAUUUUUAUUUAAUAUUAUAAAAAAAUUUAAAAUCCAAUAUAUAUUAUUUUGUUUGGCAUAUUAAAUAAUAAAAGAUGUAUAGCCGAGUGGUCCUAGGUUGGUUAUAGACCUUGAGGUCCAAGUUCAAAUCCUUUGGUGGAUUUGUUAAUUUUUUUUUUCAUUGAUUAGGUUAGUUAGCAAUCCCACACUAAGAGGAAUAAGGAUGCUUAUAAAAGCUAGCCUCAUUAUGGGCAAAGGCAUCACCUCAUCUGGUGGGCUUAAGACUCAGCCCAUAAAAUGGUUGGGUGCGGUGUGGGCUUUGUCACAUUAAGACAGGGCCCAUCAUGGGCUUUUGCUAAAUUUUUUUAUACAAGGGAGCCUUCCAUGCUUGCAAAAUGGUGGGAUAACUUGAACCGAUCGAUUCGCUCAAAACCGUCUGAUUUCGUUGGGUUAUCGAUUCAAUCAUCGAUUUAGGUGAUUUGUGACCGGUCCAAUGCUUAGACGGUUUAAUAAAGUAAAUCUAAUAAAAAAUGUGAUGGAUCGACGAUUGAACCAGUUGGAUCAGUCGGUCCCACCCGAUUUUUAAAACAUUAGAUAAUAACAAAUUAAAAGAAGGGUGUCUCCUCAUAUGAGUUUUUUUGAAGUUCUCUACUCUUGGAGUGACUGAAAGGAUAACUGCAGCCUGGUGAGAUGGACUUUGGAAUAUGAGAAGUCAAAUCAGAGGCUCCUUCCUCCAGAUGCUUACCUCAGCCUUGUAAGCAUGAGUAAAGAUAUGGAUGGUUUACCUUCUCAAGGCAUAAACCGCAUAACAGCAAGGCCUAUAUCCUUGACUUGGUCUGAAAGCAUCCUAGCUUGGGUCCUUCUGGGAAUGGGAUUGCCACACGUAUGACCUCUGUAUCAUCAGUUUUGGGGCAAAAUAGCCAUUUUAUGUAUAAAAAAAAAUAAGCUUUAGCCCUUUACAAAACUUAUGUUUAAACUAGCUCACAUAGAGUCAUGUCAUCAUUUUUCUUUUAAACUCAAUUAGACUUUAUUUUUUAACUGAAACUUCAAUUACCAAUUGAGAAUUCAUUUUUUAACUAAAACUUCAAUUUACAAUUGAGGUUUUAGUUAACUUUGUUUUAAAUUUAAAUAAAAAAUUAAAUUAUAAAUUAUUAUUGAAAUUUAAAAAAUAUAUUUUAAUAAUAAUAAUUUAUAUAUUUAAACUUAAAUAUCUAAUAUUACUUCAAUAAAGAUAAAUUGACAAAUAUAAUAAUAAAUAAAUAUUUUAUUUAUCAAUAAAUUAAUAAUUUUAAAAUAAUAAAGUUAUAUGAAAUCUAAAUAAGAUAUAAAAUUAUAUAAUUUGUUAAUUUAAGAUAUUUAAUUUUUUGUAUUUUUAAGAUAUUAAUUUAUUUGUAUUUUGACAAAUUUAUCUUUAUUAAAAUAAUAAUAUAUUCUUAAGUUUCAUAUAUAGAUUUUUUUAUUAUUUUAAAGCAUAUAUUUAUAGUUUACGUAAAAAAAUACUAUUAUUUGUACAUACAAUAUAUAUGCCUUGAAGAUACAUUUUGAAAUUAGUUAAUAAAAUUAAUUAGAAAAAAGUCUACUAUAAAAUUUAAUUUUUAAUAGUUUCAUCAAAGUCACAAAAAAUACUCAUUAAAUAUUUAUAUUAUGGAAAAAAAAUGCCCCUCCCUAAUAUUACAUGUGAUAUAACUUAAAUUAAUAAAUUGUAUAAUUUUAUAUUUUAUUUAUAUGUCAUAUAAUUUUAUUAUUUUAAGAUUAUUAAUUAAUUGAUAAAUAAAAUAUUUAUUUAUUAUAUUUAUCAAAUUAUCUUUAUUGAAGCAAUAUUAGAUCUUUAAGUUUAAAUAUAAAAUUUUUUAUUAUUAAAGUAUAAUUUUUUAAUUUCAAUAAUAAUUUAAAAUUUAAUAUUUUUAAUUAAAUUUUAAAGUAAAAAAAUAAAAUAACUGAAGUUUCAAUUGACAUAUCUUAUUUAGAUUUCAUAUAAUAUUAUUAUUUUAAGAUUAUUAAUUUAUUUAUAAAUAAAAUAUUUGUUUGUUAUUAUAUUUAUUAAUUUAUUUUUAUUGAAGUAAUAUUAGAUCUUUAAGUUUAAAUAUAUAAAUUAUUAUUAUUAAAAUAUAUAUUUUUUAUUUCAAUAAUAAUUUAUAAUUUAUUUUUUAAUUAAAUUUUAAAAUAAAAUAAAAAUUUUAACUAAAACCUCAAUUGUCAAUUGAGGCUUUAGUUAAAAAAUAAGUUUCGAUUGACAAAUGAUACUUCAAUUAAAAAAUGAAGUCUUAGUUGGUAAUUGAGACUUCAACUUAAAUUUUAAAAAAAAAAAAUUAUGACAUAACUCCUAUAUGUGAUAAUAAAGGAACUAGUUUAAACAUAAGUUUUAUAAAAGGGUUAAAACUUAUAUUUUUUUCUACAUAAAAAACUAUUUUGCCCUAAAACUCCCGUAUCGUCGACUAGCUACUGCUUUACUCCAUGUAACAUCUUGUCUACUUAAUUAUAUGAACUUCCUGAAUUAAUGCUGGAAUGACAAACCAAGUUUUAUUGAAAAUGGAAACCUUCUUAGAAUCAAACAUUUGCUCGAACAAAUUUCGCAAUAAAAAGAGGAGAGUUGUGAAAAGAAGCAUUUUUCCUGCAGCCAAUUACCUUUUCAUACAUUACUUUAAAACAAAUUAACAAAUAGUGAUCUCAUAUUUUACCUUUUCUGUUGCAGAUUACUUUUAAAAAUAUUCUCUCCACAGGCACUCCUACGGAAUCUUUCUCCAAAUCAAACUGUACAUUUUACUCAAAUUUUAAUAUCUAAUUAUAAAUAAUUAUGGGUGAGAUUGCAAUCCUUUGCUUAGCUCUUUGAAAAUCUAUGAUGAUACUCGGUAUUAAUAUUUUAUUUUAUUAAAGAUAAAAAUAUCAAAAUAAUUUUAGAACUUUUUAGUGGGGAUAAUACUUCCCCAUUAGGCUGCUUACAAGGCAUAAAUUAAUAUUUUUUUAAUUUUAAUAAAAGCAAUUUGGUACAGUUGACUUGAUUGAUAACUAUUUAAGAUAGGAUUUAGACUAAUUUAGAUUAAUUAGAUUGCAUUUACAGUUCCGUUACCUCGAAACAAAGUUGGUGCAACAUUAACCAUGAUUAUGGUGAUAUAUUUUAGUUUUAUAUUUUUUAAGGGGAUAAUUUUUUUUUUUAAUGGUUUGAUGUUAGCUUAUAAGAAAAACCUAAACCAUAAAAGCCGAAUCUUUCCAAUAUUGAUCCAAUUUCUAUCAUUAAAAAUAUAUGAAUAAAACUUUUGAUCCUUAAAUAAAAGUAUACAAACUAUCGUACAAAAUAAUGGAAUCAAAUAUACAAAAUAAGAUUAAGGAAAUGUUUGAUAAAACUUAAUAUUUAUUAUUUAAUAAUUUAAAUUAACUCUAAGUUAAAUUAUAUUUAAGUUGUUGACUUAAAACUUAUUAUUUAAUUUUUAUUUUAAGUAUUAAGGUUAUUUAAAAAAAUUAACUUACAAUUUAUAUUAAAUCAUCAAAUUAAAAUAUUUAUCUUAAUAAAUUAUAACUAAGACAAAUAAGGUUAAAUAACAAUGGAGGUUGUGAAGUCAUAAAAGAGAUCAUAAAUGUAAUUGAGAGAAAAAAAGACAAAAAUAUAAAAUGAAGAUACUGACUUAAAAAUAAAUAAAUUUUUUUAUUUAUUAAGUCUUUUAUUUUAAGUCAUACAAUAAAAUUAUUUUAUCAAACAUAUUUAAUUUAUUUAAUAAUAUAAUUAAAAUAUUAAGUCACUUAAAGUUAUUAAAUUGGUUUACCAAACACGUACUAACGUACAAAUAAAUAAGACUAAAAUAGAAAACAAUGAAACUUAAACACAUAUAUGACAUGGUCUAUUUAAUUGUAUUUUUUUAUAAAUGCCUCUUUAAUACUUCCCAAAUCAUAACAUUAAAUUUCUUAAAUUGAUAUAAAACAUUUUUUUUUUUCUANNNNNNNNNNNNNNNNNNNNNNNNNNNNNNNNNNNNNNNNNNNNNNNNNNNNNNNNNNNNNNNNNNNNNNNNNNNNNNNNNNNNNNNNNNNNNNNNNNNNACAUAUAUGACAUGGUCUAUUUAAUUGUAUUUUUUAUAAAUGCUCUUUAAUACUUCCAAAUCAUAACAUUAAAUUUCUUAAAAUUGAAUUAUAAACAUUUUUUUUUUCUAUGAUUGAAUCAUUUAGCACUCCAAGUUUUACUAUUGGACGAAAUGUUAAGGAUCUAAUAAAUGGGUAACAUUAAUUUGCUGAAAUAGUUUUUCUUAUUACUUAUAAUGGUUUUAAGAAUGUUGAAAAAAAAAUUCAUGGGAAAACAUUUAUCAAACUCAAAUUUUGAUUCCUAUUUACUUUAUCUUUCCUUGUCAUGUCUCUUUCUAAUUUUCCUUUUUUAGCGGUUUGUUUAUUAGAACAGUAUAUCAUGCCUGUGAUUCUCUUUCUAUCACUUCUUUUCAAUUGAUUUGUUUAAUGCAAUAAUAUUUGUUUAAUGCAAUAAUAUAUCAUGUUAGACAAAAUAACACCUACCUACUACCCAAAUCCCCAAUGUGACAAUGAACUCUAUCUUUAAGCAUUAUUAUAAAAUUAAACGUAAAGGAUAUUAUAAGUUUCUUCCAUUCCACGUGCCUUUCCCAUAUAUUGAAAGGUGGAGGUUAUCAUUUUUAAAAGAUCAAUAAUUGUAAUGAAUUUUCCAUUCCACGUGCCUUUCCCAUAGAUUGAAAGGUGGAGGUGAUCAUUUUUAAAAGAUCAAUAAUUUUAAUGAAUUUCAUAUAUUUGCAUAUUUUUUAAGAGGGAAUUCAAAUUAACUCAUCUUAUUUCUCAAUGUUACGUAACUCCUGCCUCAAAUUAAAAUCAUCAUAUCAUUAUGAACAACUUUGAUACAACUAUUCAAUUUUUAAUAUGAAUUCUUUCAUUCUCAAAUCAUUGUUCAAGUUAGCUUUAUUAACUUAAAAAAACUCAUUCUUUGUCACUACUCCCUCUAUGAUUAUUAAAUGAUAAAAUUGUCAUUGUCUUAAAAACUAAUUUUGAUAAUAUAUUCAUCAACAUAUUUACAAAUUUAAAUUAAUACAAGUUGUAAGAAAUGUAUCAUAAAGAAGAUACAAAACUAGAAGUAGAUGAUAAUUAAUUAUUUUUUUUCUUUAUUGAACUUUGACACCCCAUCCAAAUGCAUUAACGAGAAAAAUAGUGUUUUAUGCUUGUUUUCAAUUAAUCUUGUCAAUAUGUACAUGAAAAACAAUGAUUUAUGCUUAUAAAUCUUAUCAAUUCGCUUAUUUGUAUAUGUAAAAUGAAAUUAUUGAAACUACACGUAGAAUUGCAUGAGGAAAAAAAUACAACUACUGCAUUUAUAAAUGAAUAAAAGCUUGGCUUAAAAUUCAAAAUUCUCAAAACUAUGUUUUCCACACCAAAAUAUUUCAUCCAGCCAACCAAACACCGAUUGAAUCCUCCCUCUAAAGCAUAUUGCCCAAGAUUACAGGCAACGUAGUAAUUACCUAGGCAAGUACGUCAGAAUUAUAGCUUCUUUUUUUUUUUUGUUUUUUUUCAGUUCAUUGACUCGGCUCCACCCAACCACUAUCAGUAUCAGUUACUACCAGAGAGGGUACUGGGUACUGGUUACUGGGCAGGAGCUUUUCCAAAUUCACAACCCGUCUUCUUUAUAUAAGGGCAAGUUUAUGUAUUUCCUCUCGCCAUUGCCUUUUGUUCGAAUCAUUUGAAGUUGAUUUUAUUAAUCCAUCAGAAAAACAUGGCUCUAACUGGUAAAUUGGAGAUUGAAACAGAGAUCAAAGCACCUGCUGAUAAGUUCUUUAAAAUCUUCAGGAGCCAAGCACACCACCUUCCUAAUAUCUGCUCCGAUAAAAUACACAAAAUCGAGGUACAUGAAGGUGACUGGGAGACUCAGGGCUCUGUCAAGCAUUGGAGUUACACCAUUGGUAGGAUAUGCAACUCGAACUCAGAACCCCAAAACACUAGCUAGCAUUAUAUUCCGUUAAAAUGUUUUUUGAUUUUUUUUCCCCAUUUCAUUGUUGUUUUCUUCACAUUUUUUUAUUCUUUUAGAAUAAAUGCAUGGCUCUUUGUACAAUUUUUCUUUUUUUCUUGCAAAGAAGUGGUCAAGUCUGGGCCGCCAGUGACUAUGAUCGAUGGUUCUUAGUAAUGUAUAUGGCAUCUAAUAUUAGCUUCAACAUAUUCCAAUUACUAGGAGGGAAUUCUAAGAGCAUUAAGGAGAGUGUGGAAUCAAUAGAUGAAGAGAACAGGUCCAUUACGUUCAAGGUUUCGGAUGGAGAGGUGCUGAACGACUACAAGAGCUACAAGUUCACCACACAAGCAAUACCAAAGGGAGAGGGCUGCUUGGUGAAAUGGACCAUUGAAUAUGAGAAGGCAAGUGAGGAUGGGCCAGAUCCCCAUGACUACCUGGAGUUUGCAGUUACUGUCACCAAAGAUAUCGAAAGUCACCUUCUCAAUGCAUAACACCAAGUCCAUACAUACCGUCUGCUAGUAUCUCUAUUAAAUAAAGUUUGGAACUUGGAAGGGCAUCUACGAUCUCUAUCCUUCAAUAUAUGCGAAGGCUUAGGGGAACUUUUAGCAGCUGUGGCUUGGUGAUUAAUGCUGAGAAGAUAAACUAGGUUUCCCUUAAUUAUUUGUGUAAUAAUGUUAGUGCAUGCGUGUAAUCGGUUGUAUGCUUGUCUGGACUCUAGGGGUUGCUUUGUGAUUGUUAAUUGGUGUCUUUUGUAAUGGGAUUACUACAUGUUAUGUGAAGACUAUAUGAUGUAUAAGGAAAUAAAGUGAAAAUUACCAGGGGCUAACUCCAUCAUGAGGAGCCUCUGAGUAUGUCCACAAGUCUACAUUCUUGCAUUCUAGUCACAUGUGUCAAAAUCAGACCCUAACAAAUUACAGUCUUGAUCAUUGAAGGGGUAAAAUCCCACUUUACAUAUAAUCUAAAUAAUUUAGCUAAAAUCUAAUAAGAAUAUCUCUCUCUACAGGUAUGUAACCUUCCAACCUUGAAUUUAAGGAUAUUUAUAUAAUUUAAAAUUAUAAAAAGAAAAUUUUGGAUAUAGGACAAAUUAAUUUUUUUUUUAAAAAAUAACGAAAGUGAAUGAAAUAUUUUUGGUUCCUAUGACCACCCACUUUUUUUACUUUUUAUUUUUAUCUCAUUUUAGUUUCUCCACGUUAUAAAAAAAUGAAAAGAUAAAAUAGAGAGGAAAAAAGACAACUUGGAUUUGUAGAAGUUUCUUUCUUUCAUGGUGUUUUUCUGUUCUGUUUUUGCCUUUGUUUCAUUCUAAAAGUCACUCACUAUCUUUAUCUCAUUUGGGUUUCCCCGCGUUAUCAAAAAAUGAAAAUAUAAAACAAAGAGGAAAAAAAAACCUAUACAAAGGUCUUUGGAAUUUUGAUUCAAAGACUUAAGAAAAGAAUAAUAAAUUUUUGCAUUUGUUCCGUUCUAAAAUUCAAGGUAAGUUUUUCACAUAUAAUUUUUUUUUAGGAAUUCUAUUAUCUAUUAAUUAUGAGAAUAGUAAAUAUAUAUAAUAAUAAUAAUAAUAAUAAUCAUCAUCAUCAUCAUCAUCAUCGUCAUCAUCAUUAUCAUUUUAAAACUAGUUAUUAGUGAUCCUAAUCAAUCGAGAACAAGUUGAUUUUCAUUACCCUUGGUAAUGGUAGUGAUAAAAUAUAUUUUUAGUUAAUAAGGGUGUAAUUAGCUUUGGGGUUUCAUUGAUUAGAAAUUAUUUCAUCUACUAGUAAAAAAAACAAAGUAAAACUAACCAUCAAGUGCAAAUCAUGAAUUUUUUUAAAUAUGAAUUGAGUAUACAAAGUAUAUUAUUUAAUUAUAUAUUUAAAUUGAAAGAGAUUAAUUUUUCAAAAAUAGUGAAUUUAAUCAUUGAAUCAAAUCAACUUACCUGUUAUAAAGAUGUGAUAUGUUCCAAAAUUUAGUUGUAUACAAUACGUGACCCUUCUUAUUAAACUAUCCUUUAUCAUUGAGCUAUCUAACUUACCUUUCUCAAUUAUUAUCCUUUAAGGUACAUCAAAUAUUGGUAUAAAUGAGAAGAGAUCGAGAUAUGAAAAGUAUUUCAAAUAGAAACAUCUUUAGAAUAGAUUUAUUUUUUAGGAUUGUUUACUUAGAUCAAGUUUAUUUUAAUUUCUAAAAUGUUUUUUUAAGUGUUUGAGAGAAUUAAAGUUAUUAUUUAGAUAUUUUAAUUAGUUUUGGAUUUGUUUGUUAAGGUCAUUCAUACAAAGAUGAUAUCCAUUUCUGUGUUAUAUUUUAUUUUAUUUAUUUAUUUCUUAUUUCAUGUAUUAAGUUUGAUAAAACUGAAGGUGAAAUCAACAUUGAAUUGCUAAAAAUGUCAAUUACUAUUGUUAAUUUAUCACAAUUAUGAUUUUUUAAUUGUAGCACAUAGUAAAAUUAUUAUUAUUAUUAUUAUUAAUAUUUAUACUCUGGUCGAACUUAUCCAUGGCCAAUCCAUCAUGUAGGCCAAUUUUGUCAAACUUAUCCAUGGCCCAUCCAUCAUGUAGGCCAAAUUUUUAUUAGCAUUUUUGGGUCAUAACUCUAGAUGCUGACAUUAAAGCAUUUCUGGCAUAAUAAUUAUUGGAAAAGGAUGUCUCCUCUUUCAUGGAUCACAACCAAUACAGCAAAGAUGAUGAUAGAUAGCAUCCUUAUCACCUCAUGUGUCUUGACCUCUUCUUCAAGCUUGAGUGUCUUGUCCUAUAUUUAACGCAUGUACCAUUGCCUCCAAGAUAUGGUGACAGGAAUUAUAUAGCUACUGACUAGCUAGUCUUCACUCCAAAAAUAUGAUGGCCACUUUUUUGAAAUAUAACUCUUUAUCCUAUUGACUUAAACUCACCACCUCUUUCAGAUCCUCCACAAGGAUCAACUUAUUAAGAGUUUGGUCGAAGUUUGAUCCACUUUUCUAAAUGAGCAAUGUUAAAUUAUUUUAUUCAAACAAAUUUGAUGAUCAAAUAUCUCUUAUUUUCUCAAAUUUAAAUAACAUUCCUUUAUAAAAAUAAUUAUAAAAUUUAUUAUAAUCACUCAUUUUCAAUGGCUCAUUAGUAGAUGUUCAUUGUAUUAAAAUACAUUUAUAUGAUUAAGAAAAACUUAUACAUUUCUAUUUUUUUUUUCUAUGCAUAAUUUAUAAUAUCUCAUAUAGGAUUUAUUGGGUUUAGAAACAUGUAAUAUUUAUAUAAUAGUGAGUGAAUUAUUAUAAAUGGUAUGAAAAUUGAUUUUCAACCCUUUAUGAGAAUUUAUUUAAUACUACAAUAUAUGACUCUAUGUUUGAUUAUGUAAUCCUAUAAGACACGAUGUCCAUUAAGUUCAUUAUAUUAUUUUUAAUUAUGUAAAAAUAUUUUAAAAUUAAAAAAAUUCAUUAAACUUAGUGCAGACGCUAUCUAUAUAAAAGGAAAUAAAUGGUUAUACUUCAUCAUAUUCGUUUCUCAUAUUUGAUAUAUAUCAAUUUCAGCGACUAUUAUUCAACAUUGCCCGAAGCAAUAGGUGCCUCACUUUUACAAAGAAAACUUCCUCUAUUGAUAUUUCUCAAAUAUAAAUUCAUGUCAUGGACUCAUGGUUAACAACCGAUAGAUCCUAAAACAAUUAGAUAUCUCAGAUAUUGAUUGACCAAAUGGACAACCGAUGCUAUAGUAAGAGCUGUUGCUGUUAUCUUUUAAUUUAAAUAUACACAAACGACAAAAUGCUUAACUAAUCCACCACCCAGGCGCCGGGCCACAGAAAUGAAAUACCGCCUACCCCAACAUUUUGGAAUUAAAAAUCUACACCACCCAGAUCUUGCUGUGAUUUGGUAAAUCCCGAGAAAUUGACAACCUUCCUACGCUGGGGAGGCGUGGUUCCAUUCAAUGCCAACAUUUUCGGAUGGGUCCAGAGAGUUGUACAGUGACUUUUAAAUAAAGAAUUGUUUUAAACCUUGACUUUGGGCUCUUUAUCAGGAAUAUGAAAAUAUUGGGCAAUGACUAGAUUCGAGAGCAGGUUGCAUGCAUAGAUAUCGCAUUAAUUUUUAGCAAUCGUUAUGACGAAAGAAAAUCUGCAGAACCAAGCGAAUUUUCCUAGUCAUCAUGAGAGACAUUAGACAAGGUUUUCAAUUCAUAAAAUUGCCUUAUCAUCUGGAAUUAAAUAUUUUCAAGCUAAGGAUGAGGUUCAAUCCGUACGGGGCAAUGAAAAUAUAUGGAUGCCCUAUAGAGUGGUUGAACAUUCUACAGUUUCGUCCCUAUUUAUAGAAGAAGAUGAAAUUUUAAGCAAUUUGCUUCAAUGCAAUUUUAGCAUAUUUCAGCUAGUCAUAGCAACGUCUAAUUUCGUUGAUGUAGAAGAAGCUAACACCAAAGAUUCAUCUAGGUAGAAAGAAGUAUCGAGCAUGUAACUAACCGCAGAACUCACAUCUAGGGACCCUAUUGUAAAUAUAACAGGUGAUGGACAUAAAGAUAGAUAUGAGUAAAAGAGUGGAACAUAAAAUCCAAAUUUCAAAAGUAUGAUAGUUUUUUAGUGUUUCUUUGAAUCUCGUAGGAAUUUAGGUCAUUUUCAAUCUCAUCCAUGAGACAAGGUACAAUAAUUGUUGAAGAAUAAGAGUAUUGUUGGGCAGUUCGGCGAGCUAUAUAUAAAGAGAGAGACUUCUUAACCAUAUAAAUAUUAUCCUCUAUAACUCUAAAUUUUUUUUUCCUUUAUCCAAUAUAAAAUAUCACAAUCACUUUUAUGUAUGCACUCUUUUUAAUCACGUCGCAUAAAAUUACACCAUUUUCAAAGCUAAAUAAACUCCUAUAUAGGGGUCAUAUAUUGACUUCAAUACUCUUUGAAACGACUCACACUUAAUCAUAUAAACUCAUUAUAAUAAUGUAUUUCCUAAUUUCAUGGAAUUUCAAUAAAAUAUUUAUUACUUUCAAAUGGGAAUUAGAGAGGAAUGUUGUCUAGCUAACUCAUAAUUCUUCUUUAUAAGUUCAAAUUAGGUAUUUACUUCUUCCUACCAUUACCUCAUAUUUUGAUUGUUUCUUCGUUAAUAUAUAGUUGGUUAAACUAAUAAACUAGAGGUUAGGAUGGAGAUCAAUUUAGAUUAUGUUUGUUUUGAGUUUAAUAAACCCUUACGACUUUAAAAUGUGUUUAGAUAGUUAAGAGAAACUUAUACAUAUAUAAUAUUAAAAAAAUUUCCUCAUUUAAUGUGAGAUAUUAUAAUCAUCACUCAUGUAGACAUAAUAUAUUUGUUGUAAGUCAGAAGAUUGUAAAACCAAACAAAUUUUUUCAUUGAAAUAUAAUAUUAUUUGUAAUGGUUCACUUUCUCUCAUGGAUCCCAACUCCAUUAGGUUCUUCAUGAAGCUUGUUUCAGUUUAUUAACCACCGAUGUAGCAAAGAUGAUGAUAAGUAGUAUUUUUGUUUCUCAUAUGUUUUCAGACCUCAUCAAGCUUGAGUGCCUUAUCCCAUCUCUAACGCAUGUACCAUUGCCUCCAAAAUAUGUUGCCAGAUUAUACAUAAUAUCAUAAUUAUAGCUACUGAAGUCCAACGACUACCUAGCUAGUCUUCACUCCCAAAAACAUGAUGGUCACUUCUUUGAAAUAUAACUCUUAUCCUAGUGACUCAAACUCACCACCUCAUUGACAUCCGUCAUAAGAAUUUCAGAGACUCUUCAAAGUUUGAUCCACUUUUAUAGAUGAAUAAUGUAAAAUUCUUUUAUUCAAACAAAUUUGAUGAUCAAAUAUCUUUUCUUUCCUAAAAAUUAUAUUUCCUUUUUAUAAAUCUUAUUUUAAUGACCCAAUUACAGUAUGGUAGAUAUUGUUUGUUUCGAGUCCAAUAAACCCUUAUAACUUUAAAAUAUGAUUAAAUAGUUAAGAGAAACUUAUAAAUAUAUAAAUGUGAGGUCAAAUAAAUUUUCAUAUUGAGAUAAAAGAUUAACUUUAAUACUAUUUGUAAUGGUUUACUUUCUUUCAUGUAAACAUCAUCCACUUUAUACUCAAUGAAUCAUUGAAGCUUUAAAACAUAUUUACAUGAUUAAAAGAAACUCGUACAUAUAGUAUUAGAAUUUUUUUUUUCUGACCCAUGAUUUGCAAUAUAUGUAUAAAUACGUUUUAAAGUUAUGAGGAUUUAUUAAGUUCAGAGUAAAUAGUAUUUAUAUUAAAUGGAAUGACAUGUCACAUGCAAAUAAUAUCAAACUCAAUCUCCAAUUUUUAUAUAAGAGUUUGUUUGAUUUUAUAAAAAAUGUUUGUGUGUUUCAUUCUACAAUUCUGUGAGACACAACAUCCAUUUAAUUUAUUAAAGUCUUUUUAACUAUGUAAACAUGUUUUAAGUUGUUAAGAUUGAUUGGGUAAAAACAGAAGAGGUGAUUGUGUGUUUUAUCCUACAAUUCAAUGAGGCAAUGCCUAAUUGAUUCAUUGGGGUACUUUUAAUCGUUAAUGCAUGUUUCAAUGUUGCUAAGAUUGAUUGAGUGAGGAAAAUAUCUACAUAUGAAAGGCAACAGUUAGUUACACUUCAUUAUGUUUUUUUCUAAUAUAUUGAUAUAUGUCAAUUUCAGUAGUUAUUAAUUCAACAUCGCCCAAAGUAACCAAUGCCUCGCUUUUCCAAACAAAACUUUCUCUAUUGAUAUUUCUUAAAUAUAAAAUCAUGUCAUGGUAAGCAUCCGAUGGAUACUAAGACAAUUGGAUAGAUAUCUCAGAUAUUGAAUGGACCAAAUGGGGUAACGGAUGUGGUAGUAUACAAGCGCUGUAUAUCUUUUAAUUUAGAUAUACACACACAACGUAAUGCCUAAUCCAUCCAGCCGGGGGGCCGGCCAGAGAGAUAUAAAAUACCCCCAAUCCCAUCAUUUUGUAUUUUGUAUUGGAAUUAAAAAUCCAAACCCAGAUAUUGCUAUGAUUUGGUAAAUCCCGAGAAAUUGAGAACCCAUCCUGGGGGAGGCAUGGUCCCCCUAUUCAAUGCCAACCCUAUUUUCAAAUGGUGUCUAAAGAGUUGUACAGUUAACGGUGACUUUAAAAUAAAGAAUUGCCUUAAACCUUGAUUUUAGGCCCUUCUUCAAGAAUAUGAAAAUGCAUGUUGGGCAAUGAUUUAGAUUCGAAAGUGGGUUCUGCAGACAUCACAUUUCUGCAGAGCCGAAAAUAUUUACAAGCGUAGGACGAAGCUCAGUUCAGAUGGGCCUCGAAGAUGAAUUUUUAAGCAAUUUGCUUGAUACAUUCAGCAAUUGAUAAUUUAAAAUAAAAAAAAUUAGGAAAUAGAAAGUAAAACAUAUAUGGUUAAAACUUCAAUGCAAUUUUAGCAUAUUUGAACUAGUCAUAGGAGCGUUUAAUUUCUUUGAUGAAGAAGCUGAACACCAAAGAUUCAUCCAGGUAGAAAAAUGUAUUGACCAUCUAAUUGUCUGCAGAACCUACAUCUAAGUACCCCGCUAUAAAUAUAAGAGGCAACUUAGGUGAGGGACAUAUAGACACAUACGAAUGCCAUUGUAGAAUAUAAAAUCCAAAUUUCUCAAAACUAUAAGGUUAUGUUUGAAUCCAAAAAAAUAUUAGAGGAAGUGAAAAUGUUAAGAAAAAUAAUUUUUUAUGAUUAAUUUUAUUAUAAAAAAUAUAAAAAAUAAAUAUAAUUAAAAUUAGUUAGAAUUUUACAUAUUUUUAAAUUAUAUAAUUUGAAUUUAAAUAAAUAUAUAAAAAUAAGUCAUUAAUUUUAGAUCUAUUUCUUUUUUCUUUUUUUAUAUUCUCCCACAAAAUUUCAGUAACCGAACACAACCUAAUAGUUUCCACUGUUUCUUUGAAUUUCUCAACUUCAAAAUCUCUUGUCUAUGAGACCUCAGAGUAAUUAAUUCCUACCUCUUGGUGACUAGGCCAAGCGCAUGGAUAGGCACAUUGACCCACUUGUAAUUGCCUAGGCUAAUAGGCCAAGCUCAUAGCAAUUUUCCUUUUUUAUUUUUUAAUUUCGUCGUAGGACUUGGUCUCCACAAGGCACUAUAACGUAUCCCCUAAUUUCAUUUCAUGGAACUUUAAUAAAAUAUCUAUUGCUUUCAAGUGGGAACUGGAGAGCAACGUUGCCUAGCUAACUCACAAUCCUUCUAUAUAAGUUCAAGCUAGGUAUCUUCUUCCUUCCACCACUGCCCACUGCCUUGUAUUAGGAUAUCGUUUCUUAGUUAAUAUAUAGUUGAUUAAUUUCCAUCUCCAACUACUACUAUUAUUAGAAAAAUAUGGCUCUAACUGGCAAGCUAGAGGUUGAAAUGGAGAUCAAUUCACCUGCGGAUAAAUUCUAUAACAUCUUCAGGAGGCAAGCACACCACAUUCCUAAUAUCUGCUCAGAUAAAGUACACCAAAUUGAUGUACAUGAAGGUGACUGGGAGACUCCAGGCUCCGUCAAGAACUGGGGUUAUACUCUUGGUAAGGCAACCACAACUCAAACCCCAAAACCCUAGCACUAUUAGUCUGUAAAAAAAAAUGAUUUUUUUAGUUUUUCUAUUUCAUUUAAUUGUUUUUUUGUUUGGCAUUUUCCCCUUUAGAAUAUUAAUUUAACUGCAUUAAUUCGGAGUUGAUCCCAUCAUGUGGAAGUUUAUGCUUCUGUUAUGAAUACAGCUUUGUAUGCCUUCCUUAUGUUUAAUUCAACCUAAAGCAUGUAGAAUUGAUGGUCAAAGUCUAUGGGACCCUUUUUUCAUGACCGCCAUGCAUGGGGCUUUCCCAGGUGACUGCCCGCUACUAAAGGGGCCUAAAGUUUAGGUCCCCCGAGUUAGAACUUAGAAGAGGGAUUAUGAAUGAUCAGUGAAGUUGUAAGGUUUUGAUCUUCUUAGAUAUUACCUAGAAAGAGGAUUGACUUUACUUGACUUUUACCAUAUUGAUUUAGAGAUUGGCGAUUGCUUUAAAAGGUUGUGUCAACAGAAGAAAACUUAAAAAAUAUUAAGAAAAAUAAAAAAAAUGAUUUUGUUUUUAUAAAAAAAAUCAAAUAUAAUAAAAACGAGUUGAAAUUUUAUUUAUUUUUAAAUUAACUUUUAUAUAGAAGAAUUAAAAUACGUUAAGUAAAUUUGAAUCAAAAUAUAAAAAUAAUUAAUUUCUUAAUUUUAAAUUUAUUAUUUUUCUUUUAACUUCUUUUUUGUUUUUUCAUUUUCUUUUCUUUUGUAUUUUCUUCAAAUUUUUUUAGAACCAAAUAUAGUCAUUAUGAAAAGAUGGGCCACGAAGUGACUACGCAUGUCAAUUUGCUUGAGAUUUCGCAAUCUAGUAGUUUCAAAAUACUAUGCUUAACCCCUUGUUUUGGUUUGAAAUUACUAGGAGGGACUUCUAUGAGCCUUAAAGAGACUGUGGAAUCAGUAGAUGAUGAAAACAAGUCAAUCACUUUCAAGGUUGUGGAUGGAGAGAUCAUGAACCAUUUCAAGUGCUUCAAGUCCAACUUGCAAGUAAAAGCAAAGGAUGAGGGCAGCUUGGUGAAAUGGAGUCUGGAAUAUGAGAAAGUAAAUAAGGAUGUCCCAAAUCCUGAUGCUUACCUGGAGUUCGCAGUUAAUGUUACUAAAGAUAUUGAAAGCCACUACCUCAAGGCAUGACACCAAGGCCAUGUGGUAUCCUCGGUAGUAUUACUUCAAUAACGCUGGUGUUUGUAAUUUGGUUGAGUUGUAUGCUUUACCAGGAGUGGCCUUGUGAUUGGCUGGUUUCUUUUGUAAAGGCAUUAUCAUAUAUGAUGUAAAUACUGUACCUUAAAUAAAAAGAAAAUCAGCAAAGACCCUCCUUUUUAAUGUGGAUAAUUGCUUUUAAUGUCACCUUUGUUGAUCGGUUUACAAGACAAGAGUUAACAAGUAGUCCCUAUUUAUUAAAUAUAAGAAUUUUCUGUAUCCAUUAAUCAUCAUCAGUAAGCUAAUAAAAUGGCUGAUAUUUUUCUUAAUAAAAACAGCAACAGUUACUGAGUUUAUAUAUAGGACACCAGUUGCAGAUUAGAUUUCUUUGGCUUGAUUGUGAUCUUUCUACAUGUUGGAAAAAUAUUGUCAUUUGGUAUUUAAUAUCAAAUUUUAAAAAUAAUAUUUAAGAUAUGAAGAAAAAAACAUACAAUGAUUCAUAUUUUUAACUUUAAUAUGAUUUAAAGUUCAUCGAGUAACCGUUUUGAAAUCAUUCACCCUUGAUCUUCACUUUCCUAGUCUCCCUUUACACGUUCCUUAGUGGUGAGUAUGAAAAUGAUUCCAUUGAAUUGUAAGAAUGGAAAGAGGGAUAAAAAAUUCUUCUAUUUAUAAGCAUAGAAUGAUUCUUCUUAUCAGUGAACCAUUAACUAAAUACUUUAAACAUAUUAUUAAUUAAUAAUAAUAAUAAUAAUAAUUAUUAUUAGAAAAUAAAUUUCAUAAAUAUUAUAAAUUUAAAAAAGAAUCUAAUUUAAUUCUUAAAAAAUUUAUGCAUGAAAUUUUUAUAUUAUUUUUAAUUGUUUUCUAAGGGUUAUUUUAAGAAAUUAUUAUACAAACAUAUAAAAUAAUUAAAAAUAAAACAAUAGAUAUAAAAAUUAUUUUUAAAAAUAUUAAAAAUAAAUUCAAAAUAUUUUAAGUUGCCAAACAAAUUUUUUAUUCUACAAAAAUCAGAGAUAGUUUUCAAAAUCUCUUUUAAAAAACUAUUUUUCAGAAUUAUUUUAAAAAAUAGUUACCAAACAAGCCCUAAAAGAUUUAUAUAUAUAUAUAUAUAUGAAAUUAAAAAAAUAUCAAAUAAUAAAAAUUCAAACAAUGGUAAGGGUGUCACUAAUGAUCGGUUUGGAUUUAAACUAACAUUUUUUUAUAUUGAGUAAUUUAUUUUUUAUUCUAUAUAUUAGAAAAUUGAAUUUAAAUGUAACUUUUUCAAAUAAAAUAGUUAGAUCACACUUGAUAUAUAGUAAUAAUUUUUUAAAAACUAAUGGUCAUAAUUUAAAAAAAUGAUGAAAAAAAAAUCUCAAAUAUAUUGCAUAUGAAUGUAUAUAUUUAGUUUUAUACAACAUGUUAGACAUAUAUUAGUUAUUAACUUAUUAUAAUCUACUAAAAUAUUAAUUCUAUACGAGGGGAUUAGAUUUCUCAUUGUUGAUUUUAUAACCCUCAUUGUGGGAUUAUAAAAUGUCAUUGCAAUCACUCCCAAUUUAGUCUAUGCAAAUCAAAUAUAGAAAUGCAAUUUAUCUCUGUCACAAUUUGUUACACAAUAAUGAUAAUGGAUAAUAAAUAAAUAAAUAAAUAAAAUUAAAGAACACACAUUUAUGUAUAAAACUUUAGAUGAGAAAAAUCAUGGAUAAGGAAAAUGAAUAUCCAAUAUAUCAAAAGAUUGGUAUAAAAGAUGAGAAAUAUAAACAACUAUGAUAAAAAUAUAAUCAUCAUAACCUUAAAAUUAUGUGAAAGUAAUUAACAAAGUAGGUCCAUACAUAAGGACAAAGAGCCCCCUCAAAGGUAUCAAUGGUGGGGGUGUGGGGUGUGGGAUCGGAUCAAAUUCCAACGUUAUCAAUGGUAGGCUAGGGGAUCGGAUCAAAUAGAAUUUGGAUCGCCAAACCUUAAUACAUUUUAUGCUUUUUCUUAUUGGUUUAGAUUUAUGAUAAUCUCCUCCACCAGCAAAAUAAAGUUAUACCGGAGGAUUUUCUUUGUUUUGGCUGUCACACUUUCACUUCUUUGCUAAUAGCCUAACAUCAAAUGAGAAAAUAGAGACAUUUUAAAAAUGAGAACAAAUUCUCGAGGAUUUAGUUGUCUGCCACUAGACUAUAAAAAAUGCUUUCCUGUUAUUUUACCCCCUAAAAUAAGUUUGAUACAAUGCAUCUAUUUUCUGGCUCCGACAAUGUUUAAGAAUACAUCAACCGACCUCAAACCACAUUAUUUCGGUUUGAAAAGAAGGCUUUAUUAUGUCAGUAUGGCUGCUAAGAAGACUUUUGGAAUAUAAUAAAACAAGUCCAGCGAGUUGAUGGUUUGGAAUCGAGAGAUCAUGAAUGAUUUCCCUACUUUAGAGUCAAUAAUUAAGUGGAAUGUGAGAAGGUGAAUGAGGAUGGCCCGGGAUCCAAUGCUUACUAAACUAUUGAAGAUCACCUUCCUGAGGCAUAAUUCCAUUACUUUUCAUCGACGCUGCGAUGCUAUAAAAGAAUAUUAUAAAAAUGCAAGGGUAAUGAAAUAUUGUACAGCCUUUACCGUAUUGAAGAACGUGGACUGAUUGCUAGGGUACCCAACACCCACCAUAAUUCCCACACCAACUCCCAACCAACCCGAUCACGUAGGGCCUCACAUGGCCUCAUUAUCAUUUAUGUGGAAAGAUAAUGCUAAACUAUAUACGGGAUGGCCAUUCUACCAGCCAACCUGUAAUGAUUUUGAUAAAAGUAUACUAAAAAUAGAAGGAGAAAUUAAGUUAUCAUUUGAUAACGGUUUUUAAAAAUUGUUUUUAAUAUUUUAUAAAAUAAAAUUUUAUUUAGAAAUACAAAAUAUUUUUAACUUAUUUUUAAUAUUUUAUAUGUAUAUAUAUAUAUAUAAAGAGAGAGCGCUUUAUUUUUAAUUAUUUUUCAUAUUUAUAUAAUUAUUUUUUAAAACAAUUUCAAAAAAACAAGUGAAAAUAACUAAAAAAAUAUUCUUUGAGAUAAAGAUCAAAAAACAUAAAAUAGUUUUUUUUAUUAUCAAACAUGUUUUAUGUUUUCUAAUCUGUGUUUUUUUAAUUUGUUUUUUGUUUUCAAAUCUUAAGAUCACUUAAUUUUUUAGGGUUUUUUUUAAGAAAUAAUUAUAUAAAUAUAUAAAAUAAUUAAAAAUAAAAUAUUAGACAUAAAAAUUAUUUUUAAAACAUAUUUAAAAAUAUUAAAAACAAGUUUAAAAUAUUUUAAGUUAUAAAAUAAGCUUUUUUUUUUUUACAAGAAUCAUAAAAUAAUUUUUAAAAACUAUUUUAAAAUAUUAUUUUUGAAAAUAAUUAUCAAACCCCUUAUUUUCUAUUCUCAAAAAAUGUUUUUUAAUUAUCAAAUGUGGUGUCUAUUUAAAUUUAAGAUUUUAAAUUUUAAAUUUAGUUAUUUCCAAGUUAUGAUCUCUUGAUAUUAUUUCAACCUAUUAUUUAUUUAUUUGUUUGUUUUUCACAUAAAUAAACUAAAAUUCAAUUGUAUAACCCAGUAUGAAUCACGUGGGCCCUUAGUGAGGCUGGCUACAACUAAAUCAACGUUCUUUUGAUAAUCGAUUGCCUAUGAAAGAAAUCAUCACGCCUUACACACAAUAGAAUAAAUUAAUAAGAAAGUAAGAAGAUUAGAAAGAAAAGCAUCUUAGAGGAAGGGUUUUUUUUUUUUUAACUUCUUGGUGGUGACACUGGAUGGGCUUUUGAUAAUUGUACGACGAAUUUAAAAUUAAUGUUUUAAAAUACGGUAUUAAAAAAUAUUUUCAAAUUUAUGGUACUUUUUACCACUUUGAAACAUGUUUCUUAAAAAAGCAUAUUUCAUCGUUUUUAUAUUAAUGAUACACAUUCAAAAAAAAAAAAAUUAAAGGUGUCUUUUUGAAAUAUAUUUUUCAUAAUUUUUAUAUCAAUAACACACAUUAAAAAAUUUUGAAUUUAUAUUAAAAGUGUCUCUUCAAAAAACACAUUUUAUAAUUCCAUAAAAUUAAAUUUAUAUUAAAAGUGUCUUUUAAAGAUAUACUUUUUACAAUUUUCAUAUCAGUUAUAUAGUGAAAAAAUUGAAUUUAUAUUAAACAUAUUUCUUUAAAAGACAUUUUCUACAAUUUCAUAAAAUUAAAUUUAUAUUAAAGGUAUCUCUUUCAAUAAUUUUUGUAUCAAUCAUCCAUUGAAAUAAUUGAAUUUAUACUAAAAAUAUCUUUUUAAAAGACACCAUCCAUAAUUUCAUAAAAUUAAAUUUAUAUUGAAAUGUUUCUCUUUAUACUUUUAAUAUAAAUUUAAUUUUUUUAUAGGUGAUUAAUAUAAAAAUUAUGAAAAGUAUUUAUUUAAAAAAUAUUUAUUAUAAAUUCAAUUUUAUAGAAUUAUAAAGACGUCUUCAACGUAAAUUCAAUUAUUUUUUCAAUGUGUAAUUGAUAUGAACAUUAUGAAAAAUGUCCUUCAAAAGACACUUUUAGUAUAAAUUUGAUUUUAUGGUAUUAUUAAAAGUAUAUUUCUUUAAUAUAAAUUCAAUUUUUUAACAUGUAUAACUAAUGAAAAAUUAUAAAAAAAUUAUAUUUUGAAGAGAUAUCUUUAAUAUAAAUUCAAUUUUUUAACAUGUAUAACUAAUGAAAAAUUAUAAAAAAAAUUAUAUUUUGAAGAGAUAUCUUUAAUAUAAAUUCAAUUUUAUAGAAUUAUAAAAGAUAUCUAUUGAAAAAAUACUUUUAACAUGUAUCAUUGAUAUGAAAAAUAUAGAAAAUAUCUUUUCAAAAAACACUUUUUAAAAUGGUAAAAAGUACCAUAAAUUUAUCAAAAGUUUUAUAACUAUCAUAGAAAUUUUUUUCAAAAGUUCCAUUUUUUAAUAAUUAUUUUUUUAAAUAGCCGUACAAGUUAUAUAAAAAAAAACCCGAUACUCCAUAAAAUGUGAUCAAGUAGGAUUUGCAUCAUGCAACCUCAUACAAAUAAUAAAAAGCAUAAAUCACUUGAAACUUGAAAGUGAUUGGAAUUUGGCAGACUCUAGCUAGCUAGGUUGCCAUAAAUGACAUGGGUCAGUGGCCGACACCCACCAAACCCAGCACUUAAUAAUAUAAUUAAUAUACUAUUAUUAUAGAACCAUCGUUUUCAGGAUAGGGAGCAUCAAAUUAACCUCCCCAAGUCAAACUGCACAAUUUGUUUCAUCGAAAUCGAAUAUCUAAUAAUGAAUGAUUAUGGGUGAGAUUGCAAUCCGCCAAUCCUUUGCCUAGCUCUUUGAAAAUCAAUGAUGAUGCUUAGUAUUAAUAUUUUAUUUAUCUUUUUAAUAUGAAAAUAAAAAUAUCAAAAUAAUUUUAAACUUUUUUCGUGGAGAUAAUGCUCCCCAGUUAAGCUGCUUAUAAGGUAUAAAUUAAUAAUAACCUUUUAAUUUUAAUAAAAGCAAUUUGAUACAUAUCACAUCUUAAUUCACUUGAGUAAUAACUAUUUAAGAUUGGAUUUAGGUUAACUUAGAUUAAUUAGAUUGUAUUCAGGUUAAUUAAACCAUAAUCAUAUUAUUAUCAACAAUUUCUCACAACUAUCCUAUUUUUAAUAUGAAUUAUUCCUAGUUCUCAAAUUAUUGUUUAGGUAGUUUUAUUAUCUUAAAAAACAUCUUUUUUUGUCAUUGGUUCUGCAUGGUUAUUAAAUAAGAAAAUUAUAAUUAUCUUAUCAACUAAUUUGAAGACUUUUCACAAAUUCAUACUUUAAAAACCUCUUUCUUUGUCGUGGGUCCCUACAUGGUUAUUAAAUAAUAAAAUUGUAAUAAUUUUAUCAAUUAAUUUGAAGACUUUUCACAAAUUUAUACAAUACUAGUUAUCGGAAAUGUGUCACAAAGAAGAUGCCAAGCUAAAAGCAAAUCAUGAUUCAUUAUUUUUUUUCCCAAUUGGAGCUCGAUGACCCAAUCCGAAUGCAUUAACAUCAAAAUUAGUGUUUUAUACUAUUUUCAAUGAACCUUGUCAACAUGAUCGUGAAAUGAUUUAUGAUUAUUUUCAAUAAACCUUUCAUCGAAACUAUGUGUAGAACUGCAUGAAUAAAUAAGAAAUUUUCAUAGUUACAGAUUUGCAUUAUCUCACUCUAUAUGAUUUUAUAUAGUUUUUUUUUUAAUACUUCUGCAACAUUUCUUUAGAAAAAAUAUUGUAUCAAUAAAUUCAGUAAUUUUCAUCAAUUUCAAUCUUAUAAUUAAAUGAUACUUCUGUCAUGUAUAUCACCAUACGUGUCACACUUCAUUCAAGAUCAGGUUGAUUAGUCAUGUAUACCUGCUCCAUUAAUAAAGUAUUAAGUUUUUAUUUUAUUUUAUUAAAAUAAUAAAUAAAUAAUAUAAUUUUUUUUUAUUAGAGGUAGUUAGGUAUCAUUAAAUGAUUUGUUGUCCUGCCAUGUCCCCAAUUAAUAAUUUUAUACUUUUCAUUUUUUUCAAAGGAUUUAAAAUAUAAAAUAUUAAAGAUAAAAUAUCUGAAAGUACCGCUUCCAUACCCAAUCAAAUUUUAAAUCUAAAUUAUUGACAUGUGAGUGAAAUUUGGACUAUUAAAUAAAAAGUGAAAAAAAAAUAAAAUAAUAAAUAAUUAAAAAUGUUCCUGCAAGGAGAUGUGACUAAGGUUAAAAAAGGAGGGGAUAAGGAGCGGCUAGGAAUAUGUAAACAAAAUUCAAAUAAUUAAAAAACGAAAUGAUAACUUCUCAAUGAAAUUGAAUGUUUCAGUUCUAAAAUCCAAAACAAAAACUAUAGUGAAAGAAAAAUUUGAGAAAAUAUAGCAUGGUCUUCUCUUUAAUGAUUGAUAAAUAUUUAUAUAUAAAUAAAGUUUAUUUUCCAUUAUAAUUUAGAUUAGUCGAGUCUUGUUUUCUACUCAAAUUCAAACUUCACAUUUUGUUAUAAUUUAAUCUAAUAAUAAUUGUUUUCACAAGACAAGCUGAAGUUAUCCAUUAAAAUACAACUUUUAAUUAAUAGUUUAAAAAAUAAGAUAAAUUUGAAAAUAAUUUUAAAAUUUAAUAAGUAUAUAUAUUUUUAAAUAGCAUUUUUUUUUUUAAAUUGCCAAAUCUAUGCUCAGAAAAGAUCCACAAAAGUUGAUCAACAAAAGAUACCGAACAGGAAGUAGAUGAUAAUCCAUUAUUUUCUUCUUUAUUAAAGUUUGACAACCCAAUCUGAAUUCAUUAACGUGAAAAGCAGUGUUGUAUGCUCAUUUUCAAUGAACCUUGUCAACAUGCACGUCAAAAACAAUGAUUUAUUAACUACGUACAUGUAGAAUUCCAUGGGAAAAAAAAAAAUACAAUUAAGGCCUUGGGAGAUGAAUAAAAGCUUAACCUAAAAUUCAAAAUUCUCAAAACCAUGUUUUUUCACACCAAAAUGUUUCAUCCAGCCAACCUAAGACCGAUUGAAUCCUCCCUCUAAAGCACAUUGCCCAAGAUUACAGGCAACGUAGUAAUUACCUAAGCAAGUACGUCAGAAUCAUAGCAAUUUUUACCAAAGUGGGUAUCGGGAAGGAGCUUUGCCUAAUUCAUUCUUCGACAAGGUUAUCUACUUCCUCUCGUCACUGCCUUCUGUUUGAAUCAUUUGUAGUUAGUUUUAUCAAUCCAGCUAGUGUUAUUAUCAGAAAAACAUGGCUCUAACUGCUAAAGUGGAGACUGAAACAGAGAUCAAAGCACCUGCUGAUAAGUUCUUUAAACUCUUCAGGAGCCAAGCACACCACCUUCCUAAUAUCUGCUCCGAUAAAAUACACAAAAUCGAGGUACAUGAAGGUGACUGGGAGACUCAGGGCUCCGUCAAGCAUUGGAGUUACACCAUUGGUAUGACAUGCAACUCAAACUAAGAACCCCAAAACACUAGCGUUAUAUUCUGUUAAUUAAAAUAAUUUUUGAUGUUUUUGUUUCAUUUCAUUGUUGUUUUCUUCUCCUUUCAAUUAUUCUUUUAGAAUAAUAAACGCAUGCGUCUUUGUACAUUUUUUUUCUUGCAAAUAAGUGAUCGGGUCUGGGCCGCUAGUGACUAUGAUGGUUCUUAGUAAUGUACAUGACAUCUAAUAAUAGCUUCAACAUAUUCCAAUUAUGUUUAACCUCACAUUUUGGUUUUAACUAGGUGGGAAUUCUCAGAGUAUUAAAGAGACUGUGGAAUCAAUAGAUGAAGAAAACAGGUCCAUCACGUUCAAGGUUUUGGAUGGGGAGGUGCUGAAAGAAUACAAGAGCUACAAGUUCACCGCACAAGCGAUACCAAAGGGGGAGGGCAGCUUGGUGAUAUGGACCAUCGAAUAUGAGAAGGCAAGUGAGGGUGGCCCAGAUCCCCAUAACUACCUAGAGUUUGCAGUUAAUAUCACCAAAGAUAUCGAAAGUCACCUUCUCAAUGCAUAACACCAAGGUCAUAUCUACCCUUUGCUAGUAUCUCGCUCGUAAAUAAAGUUUGGACCUUGGAAGUCCAUCUACGUACGAUCUCUAUCUUUCAAUAAACGCAAAUUCCAGGUGUGGACUUGGUGAUUAAUGCCGAGAAGAUAAACUAGGUUUGCCUUGGUUAUUUGUGCAAUAAUAU